rnacentral:lncRNA from 1 species
GUUCUGGAUCAUCGAUUUCUUCAUUUAUUUCACUUGACACAAUAUAUGAGAAAGCAUCAUCAAGGUCAUUUUGUUCAUUUCUAUUCCAUAUCCUUUUAUUAUGGAUGUAAUUAAUAGAAAUCUCAUGAUUAUCUUUCGAUUCAUGAUGCUCUGAUUCAUGAUGCUCUGAUUCAUCAGAAUCCUUAUCAUUUAUUUCUUCCAAAAUAUUUUCUGCUAUUUUGGGUGCAUCAUAUAUUUCAGCUUUCUUUUGUUUCCUAGGAUUCUUAUCCUUAGAACCAACAGGUCUACCACGCUUCAGGCGUGUUUUUGGCUCUCGUGUGUCAUCCUCCUUUUCUUGUUCAUUUGGCAUUUUGAUACGAGCAGGAGCAUUUGCAGCUGGUAUAUGAGAUUUAGUUACCGUCUUGGUAUCUACAAAUGCAUCAGGUAGCUGGUUAGCUAUACUCUGUAAAUGCAUAAUUCGUCGAACUUCUAGUUCUGACUCUUUAGUAGGAGGAUCAAGAUAUAACAAUGAUGGUACACUCCAUUUUAUAUCACUUCCAACAUUUUUGUUUUCUCCCCCUAGAACUGGGAAUACUUUCUCAUCAAAAUGACAAUCGGCGAAACGUACCGUAAAAACGUCACCAGUCUCGUUCAGCUUGUAUUGCAUUUUUCCAUUGUUCCCAAUCAUGUCUCUUUUGACAUUCAUAGAUAGAUCUUGGUUCUGGAUCAUCGAUUUCUUCAUUUAUUUCACUUGACACAAUAUAUGAGAAAGCAUCAUCAAGGUCAUUUUGUUCAUUUCUAUUCCAUAUCCUUUUAUUAUGGAUGUAAUUAAUAGAAAUCUCAUGAUUAUCUUUCGAUUCAUGAUGCUCUGAUUCAUGAUGCUCUGAUUCAUCAGAAUCCUUAUCAUUUAUUUCUUCCAAAAUAUUUUCUGCUAUUUUGGGUGCAUCAUAUAUUUCAGCUUUCUUCUGUUUCCUAGGAUUCUUAUCCUUAGAACCAACAGGUCUACCACGCUUCAGGCGUGUUUUUGGCUCUCGUGUGUCAUCCUCCUUUUCUUGUUCAUUUGGCAUUUUGAUACGAGCAGGAGCAUUUGCAGCUGGUAUAUGAGAUUUAGUUACCGUCUUGGUAUCUACAAAUGCAUCAGGUAGCUGGUUAGCUAUACUCUGUAAAUGCAUAAUUCGUCGAACUUCUAGUUCUGACUCUUUAGUAGGAGGAUCAAGAU